ACUGCUCAGUAACACGUGGACAACGUGCCCUAAAGUGGAGCAUAAUCUCGGGAAACUGAGGAUAAUUCUCCAUAGACCAUGAGAUCUGGAAUGACUUAUGGUUCAAAGUUCCGGCGCUUUAGGAUCGGUCUGCGGCCUAUCAGGUAGUAGUGGGUGUAACGUACCCCCUAGCCAGUUACGGGUAUGGGCCUUGAGAGAGGGAGCCCAGAGUUGGAUUCUGAGACACGAAUCCAGGCCCUACGGGGCGCAGCAGUCGCGAAAACUUCACAAUGGGCGAAAGCCCGAUGAGGGAAUUCCUAGUGCUAGCACAUUUGUGUUAGCUUUUCCUUAGCGUAGAUAACUAGGGGAAUAAGGGCUGGGUAAGACGGGUGCCAGCCGCCGCGGUAAUACCCGCAGCCCGAGUGGUGGUCGAUUUUAUUGAGUCUAAAACGUUCGUAGCCGGUCUGAUAAAUCCCUGGGUAAAUCGGGUGGCUUAACCAUCCGAAUUCCGGGGAGACUGUCAGGCUUGGGAUCGGGAGAGGUAUGAGGUACUUCAGGGGUAGGGGUAAAAUCCUGUAAUCCUUGGAGGACCACCGGUGGCGAAGGCGUCAUACUAGAACGAAUCCGACGGUGAGGGACGAAGCCCUAGGUCGCAAACGGGAUUAGAUACCCCGGUAGUCUAGGGUGUAAACGCUGCAGACUAGGUGUUGGAGGCCCUACGGGGGCACCCAGUGCCCGAGAGAAGUUGUUAAGUCUGCUACUUGGGGAGUACGUCCGCAAGGAUGAAACUUAAAGGAAUUGGCGGGGGAGCAC
rnacentral:rRNA from 1 species